rnacentral:misc_RNA from 1 species
UCUCCGUAGGUGAACCUGCGGAGGGAUCAUUACAGAGUUCUCGCCCUCACGGGUAGAUCUCCCACCCACUGUUAUCGUUACUGUCGUUUCUUUGGCGGGCCGCCGGGUCCCCGGCCGCCGGCGCCUAGCUGCCGGCGCGCGCCCGCCAGAGGCCUUCAAACUCUGAAUGUUAGUGUCGUCUGAGAACUAUAUAAUAGUUAAAACUUUCAACAACGGAUCUCUUGGUUCUGGCAUCGAUGAAGACGCAGC